GGACUUUAUUAAAGUUCAAGGCGAAACGAAAGUGAAAUAUUGGGUUGAUGUUGCGAUCUAUGAAUCGCAGCCGCAAACCCGGGGUCCGCCAUUGCAGUGUCCUUACGGUUAUUGCUGGCGGGCACCUUGAGCCCGUGGGUUAGUACCCGAAAGAUGGUGAUCUAUGCACAACCAAGACGAAGCCAGGGGAAACUCUGGUGGAGGUCUGCAGCGUUUCUGACGUGCAAAUCGAUCGUUCGAGUUGUGUAUAGGGGCGAUAGACUAAUCGAACCAUCUAGUAGC
rnacentral:rRNA from 1 species